rnacentral:rRNA from 1 species
UCUUCCCUACGGGGGGCAGCAGUGAGGAAUAUUGGUCAAUGGCCGGAAGGCUGAACCAGCCAAGUCGCGUGAGGGAAUAAGGCUCUAUGGGUCGUAAACCUCUUUUGUCAGGGAGCAAAGGCGUCCACGAGUGGACGAAAGGAGAGUACCUGAUGAAAAAGCAUCGGCUAACUCCGUGCCAGCAGCCGCGGUAAUACGGAGGAUGCGAGCGUUAUCCGGAUUUAUUGGGUUUAAAGGGUGCGUAGGCGGAGUGUCAAGUCAGCGGUCAAAUUUCGGGGCUCAACCCCGUCGUGCCGUUGAAACUG